GAGUAUCAUUGGGAUAUAAUGCAUGAGAGAGAAGAAAAAGGAAACCAUUCAACAUCAGAAAAUAAAAAAAAGGAUUAGUUUUACAGUUCAAUAAAUAAUUUAACAAGUGUCUCCUUUCUUGGAAAGACAGAAGUAGGAUAUUUAAAGCACUGGUAUCUGGAAACAAUCAGAACAACACGGCAGAACUUGAGAAAAUUGUUGAAAACCUCGGGGUCAGAUGCAUUGCCAAGAUCAAGGAACAACACUUGUCCUGCAGAUGCCGUACAAUGCUGAAGUCUCAUCAAUAGCUGUGUCUUCCACAGAAUAACUCCAUGUCACACCUCCAUGUCUUUCUGUAUGAAUAAGAUAUUUCUGUUGGCAUUAACAUGUACAUAUAUACCCAAAGGACUAUCAGGAGCCUAUAUAAAUUCCAUGCUCACACAAAUAGAGAGACAGUUCAGUCUCUCCACAUGAAUAGUUGGAGUAAUCAGUGGGAGCUUUGAGAUGGGAAACCUUUUGUUGAUAAUAUUCGUGAGUUAUUU